GCGCGAAAACUUCGCAAUGCGCGAAAGCGUGACGAGGUCACCCCGAGUGCCACCUGAUGAAGGUGGCUUUUCCCCGCGUAUAACUAGCCGGGGGAAUAAGGGGAGGGCAAGCCUGGUGUCAGCCGCCGCGGUAAUACCAGCUCCCCGAGUAGUGAGGACGAUUAUUGGGCCUAAAGCAUCCGUAGCCGGCCAAGUAGGUUUCUCGUUAAAUCUAGCGAUCCAAUCGUUAGGCUGCGGGAAAUACCGCUAGGCUAGGGGGCGGAAGAGGCCGACGGUACUCUUAGGGUAGGGGUGAAAUCCUAUAAUCCUGAGAGGACCACCAGUGGCGAAGGCGGUCGGCCAGAACGCGCCCGACGGUGAGGGAUGAAAGCUGGGGGAGCGAACCGG
rnacentral:rRNA from 1 species